AUGGAGGCAGGGCUUUCUCCUAUAGAGCUCCAUUUUUAUGGAACGGUCUGCCUACCCAUGUCAGAGACGCAAACUCGGUCUCAACCUUUAAGUCUUUACAGACUCAGUAGCCUCGAUUUUUCGGAUGACUGCCUUGCCUGGUUCACCAAUUACUUUGCAGACAGAGUUCAGUGUGUCAAAUCGGAGGGCAUGCUGUCCGGUCCUCUGGCAGUCUCUAUGGGGGUGCCACAGGGUUCAAUUCUCGGGCCGACUCUUUUCUCUGUAUACAUCAAUGAUGUUGCUCUUGCUGCGGGCGAUUCCCUGAUCCACCUCUACGCAGACGACACCAUUCUAUAUACUUUCGGCCCGUCAUUGGACACUGGGCUAUCUAACCUCCAAACAAGCUUCAAUGCCAUACAACACUCCUUCCGUGGCCUCCGACUGCUCUUAAACGCUAGUAAAACCAAAUGCAUGCUUUUCAACCGAUCGCUGCCUGCACCCGCAUCCCCGCCUAGCAUCACCACCCUGGAUGGUUCCGACCUAGAAUAUGUGGACAUCUAUAAGUACCUAGGAGUCUGGCUAGACUGCAAACUCUCCUUCCAGACUCAUAUCAAACAUCUCCAAUCGAAAAUCAAAUCAAGAGUCGGCUUUCUAUUCCGCAACAAAGCCUCCUUCACUCACGCCGCCAAGCUUACCCUAGUAAAACUGACUAUCCUACCGAUCCUCGACUUCGGCGAUGUCAUCUACAAAAUGGCUUCCAACACUCUACUCAGCAAACUGGAUGCAGUCUAUCACAGUGCCAUCCGUUUUGUCACUAAAGCACCUUAUACCACCCACCACUGCGACUUGUAUGCUCUAGUCGGCUGGCCCUCGCUACAUAUUCGUCGCCAGACCCACUGGCUCCAGGUCAUCUACAAGUCCAUGCUAGGUAAAGCUCCGCCUUAUCUCAGCUCACUGGUCACGAUGGCAACACCCAUCCGUAGCACGCGCUCCAGCAGGUGUAUCUCACUGAUCAUCCCUAAAGCCAACACCUCAUUUGGCCGCCUCUCGUUCCAGUACUCUGCUGCCUGUGACUGGAACGAAUUGCAAAAAUCGCUGAAGUUGGAGACUUUUAUCUCCCUCACCAACUUCAAACAUCAGCAUCUGAGCAGCUAA
rnacentral:lncRNA from 13 species